GAUGAACGCUGGCGGCGUGCUUAACACAUGCAAGUCGAACGAAACACCUUAUUUGAUUUUCUUCGGAACUGAAGAUUUGGUGAUUGAGUGGCGGACGGGUGAGUAACGCGUGGGUAACCUACCCUGUACAGGGGGAUAACAGUCAGAAAUGACUGCUAAUACCGCAUAAGACCACAGCACCGCAUGGUGCAGGGGUAAAAACUCCGGUGGUACAGGAUGGACCCGCGUCUGAUUAGCUGGUUGGUGAGGUAACGGCUCACCAAGGCGACGAUCAGUAGCCGGCUUGAGAGAGUGAACGGCCACAUUGGGACUGAGACACGGCCCAAACUCCUACGGGAGGCAGCAGUGGGGAAUAUUGCACAAUGGGGGAAACCCUGAUGCAGCGACGCCGCGUGAGUGAAGAAGUAUCUCGGUAUGUAAAGCUCUAUCAGCAGGGAAGAAAAUGACGGUACCUGACUAAGAAGCC
rnacentral:rRNA from 1 species